GGGUCUGUCGCUCAGUUGGUGAGAGCGCACCCCCGGAAGUUCUGUAAAGAGAAGGGUGAGGUCGCCGGGUUUAUUUCAAAUCUGCCCAGACCCACCA
rnacentral:tRNA from 4 species